GGAGAAAGAGAGAACGAGAGAAAAGAGAGACAGAGAAAUAGAGAGGCAGAGAACGGAGAAGGAGACAGAGAUCGAGAGAUCAAAAACUGCAAUUUGCAAUUAAGAAUGAAAAUAUGUCUCUCACUUCCUAUCAGAUUUCUUCAUCUAACUGUCCGCUAAUUUCUUUCCCUGGAAUAAGAAGAAGUAAGGAAGAUGAAGCGUCAAGAACGAAGAGGAGUCUACCCCGCCCAUUACAACAUGCUUCUAAUGGAUCUAGAGUCUCUAAUUUAAUCAAAGCAAGGUAAGUUGUGAAGACAAGUAGAGAAUCUGUCAUGUAGCCAGAACCACUACAGGUAAAGGUUUUUGUUUAUUCGUUUUUAAAUUAUGCCAUAACUUGAUUUUAUGUUUAGUCAUUUGGUUGGAUAGGUUUGGAUUUAUGUAUUUUAGUUAGAUUUGGAUUUGGCUACAGUAAUUGGGUUAGAAUUUUUUUUCCCCAUAAUGAGCAUUUUUAAAUUCGUGCCUUUGGUUUUUUGUUAAAUUCCUAAUUCAAAAUCUUGGUUUCUCUAUUUGUGUUUGCCUUUUGUUGGAGCCCCUGGAUUGUGUGGAAUUAUAAAGAUAGCAAAGAGUAGUGAGGUAAUGAGAAAUGAGAGAAUCAGAAGUGUUACCAACAAAGGAUGCAAUUUCAACACGAUUGGUAGACCCAAUGCGGCUGGCUAAUCUUCUUUGCAGGAUAGCCUUUAUUGUCUACAACAAUCUAUCAUUAACACAGAUUGAACACCACAAUGGACAUUAAUGUUACACAGAUUAUACCAAGGAGACCACGUGAAGUACAGGAUGGAGAACUUGCCUUGCACAAUGGAAAAUCAAUAUCUUAAAUAAAGGACUUGGAGUGGAACUUAGAGAAAAAGGUAUCAAAGGUAUAGGAUACAUGUCCAAGUAGAAAGUAAAACCGAUUCAACAACAUUCAUUUCAUUUGACAAAGCGACUGAGAAAUUUGUAUCUAAGACUAUAAAAGAACUUGCAGAGAUAUAAGCAGAGCUCAUAAACCUGCUGAAGAUGGAAAAUGAGAAGAUGAUAGCAUGCUUAUUCAAAUGCUUCGCAAACAAAACAAUGCUACUAAACAAAAUGCAUCAAAGAAGAAGAAAAAUUGAAGAAGGAAAAAUAGCAACUAUAGAAUUCAAUUUAAUUUUCAGUUUUUGUUUUCCCUCCUACCUAUUCUACUAUUUUUAAAGAGGGAUUGAAAUUGUGGAACUUUGAAAUCUAAAAGUGUAAUGUUCUUUAUACAAAGUUGAUUAUUUCAUAGAUUUUAGUCAAUAUUUCACCCUAUCUGCAUAAUUACCAGGGUUAGCUACUUUAAACUUUUAUUUUAAUGGUAGACAAUUGUAGAAAAUGUAUUUUGUUGUUGAAAUUUUAUGGUUGCUGGUGGGUGAAUUUUGAAUAAUAAAACAAUGAAUGUGAUUGCUAUUAAGUUGACAGGUUUUUAGUGGUAUCAUCUUAAUAUCUUUUGGUUAAUUUUUUGUUUAUAGUUUGUGAAAUUUCUAUUGCUAUGACAGCCUUGCAGCUAUUCUUUGAUGACAACUUCAUAUUAUCCAACCAACUGAUGUGAAUGCUCUUGGGGUGUGUAUGUGUUGAUCAUCCUUAUGUUUGGUUUAUUGUUUUACCAUGAAGCUGCAAUUAAAUAAUGUGCCAAGAAAAAGACAUUUUAAAACUUCAAAAAAACAAAGUCACCAUCAAUUAUUGUUCUUAUUAUCACAAUUUGUUUGUCACUGAUGAAUAAUUAUUUAAGGAUUUAUAGACAGUUCAGCCAACCUCAUCUAACAUACAUAGAUGGUUACAAAUUAAAGAAUGACAAUAUAUACUUCCUUUUCUAAAUUUUUUUUUUUUCCUUACAUCUUUCCUUUUCCUCCUUUUAUGUACCAACUUUAGGCCCAUACUUUUGGGUGAGAGAAGUUUCGGGGCAAUGCAAGAUGAACUCAAGGGACUCCUUGGGUUGACACUUAAUUGAGAUGGCUAGUACAAGUUAUAUCCCAUGAGGAAGUACUCCAAUGGUAUUAACAUAGCAUGGGGCUAGUCCUUUGUCACCAUUGACUCACAUGCCUAAACUUUAAUGUCAAAGGGCAAAGAGAAGGUGAGCAGCAGCAAGCAGUUUAGGUGGCUGCCGCCCAUGCACUCAACGAUGCUUAGGAUACUUGCGCAAGAGGCUGCAAAAGGCAACAAGCCAUCUAGCACUUUCAAGGCAGGCUCCUUUACGCUUGUAGCGAAGGAGAUAACUGCCCAAUUUGGGGUUGAGUGCCACCCCUCUUAUGUUGAAAAUCGGAUGCGGACUCUAAGGACCAUGUGGUCCACUAUUCAGACUAUUAGAAAGAAGAGUGGCUUUGGCUGGGAUGAUAACCUAAAAAAUGAUAACAUGCGACGCGAAUACAUACCAAGAAGAAGUCAUGAUGCAUCGAAAGCAUGCGGAGUAUCUAAACACAAAAAUUGAGAUGUAUGAUGAAUUAGCUAUUGUUGUGGGGAAGGACACUGCCACGGGUGGCUUUUCUAAGUCCUAUGUGGAUAUUGAGAAUGAGCUAGACAAUGGGGAUAGUGCUGAGUUUGUUGCAGACAAUGUGGAGGAAGGUGUGGUCGAGAAAGGGAAGAAUGCAGUCAAGUCAUCCACCACUGGGUCGGGAAUGUCCAAGUCCCGCAAAAAAGGGCGUGCACCUUCUAAUGUUAAUGAUAGUGUGUUGACUAAUUUGUCUGAUCAGCUGAAGGAAAUAGCUGUGGCUCUGAAAGAAAUCAACCGGGGCCCAGUGGAUUACACAGCUCUUUACAAUGAGGUCAUGGCUAUGAUGGUGGAUGGGUAUAGCGAAGACAUGCUCACAAUUGCGUUUGACCAUCUUUGUGAAAAUGAGAAGGUAGCACAGGGAUUUCUAGCCAAGAAUGCUAGGAUGAGAAAGUUGUGGUUGGAUGGUUUUUUGUUCUCACAACUUUGACUUGUCUGUUUCAUGUUGACUGUGACGAUAGCUUUAGGAAUUAACUUUUGUUGUAAUACUAGUAUUGACCUACCAUUGUAUUAUAUAUGUAGUCUUUUGUUUUACUGGAACGAUAUAAUUGCCCAAAUUAUGUAUUUGUACUGUUCAGA